AUUUAUAUAGGUUAAAAAAAACAUUACAUUUUCAGUGGAAAAACAAAAAAAAUUUUUUUUUAUAAAUA
rnacentral:tRNA from 1 species